GAUGACACAUAUAUGAUAUUAUAUAACAGUGACAUGAAAAAUAAAUAGUAAUAUAUUUUUAGAAAAAAGUAAUAUAUGAAAUAUUAUAUUAUACUUAAAAAAACAAAAUAACAUAUAAUAAUAUAAUAAUAUAAUACUGUUUAUUGUCUAUUUACAACAAAUAUAUAUUUAUAUAAAAGAUAAAGUAAACUUUCGUGCAGAUGCACAUAUCAAAAUCUAGUAAUGAUUAAUCUUGUAGAACAUGCGGACGACACGUAAUAUAUAUGCAAUUAAAAGUUGGAAGCUGAAAGCUGCCGAUAAUUAUACUUCCUUUGCCGUCAAUUUAUAAGGGUUUGCAAUUAGUUAGUUAUUGUGUCAAUAAAGUUUGGUAGUAGAAACUAAAGAGGUAUGUUUUCCACGCAAG
rnacentral:lncRNA from 1 species